GCAGUGGUGAUUCUCUGGUAGAAUUCUCCCCUCCCACAUGGGAGACCUGGGUUUGAUUCCCAGCCAAUUCA
rnacentral:tRNA from 1 species